UGGCUGGGCUGGCACCAGGUGCUCUAACUAC
rnacentral:piRNA from 1 species